rnacentral:lncRNA from 1 species
AGGACAAUGUAUCGCCGACCCUUUCUUUUAUUAAGUACAUGCGGAAGCAGUUAAAAUCCCCAGACAAUAAAACGAUGGGAUAGAAAAGCAAGGCCAUAUUUUUCAUAUUGAAAUUUAUAACCCAACUUUUAUACAAAACACAAACCAUAACACUUCACAACUUUUUAUUCUAAACUCUAUUCACAUCAAAAUGGAGAUAUCAAAGAAGAUAACAUCUCAGUCCACCUGGGCCGUCCUCAAGGCCCUUCUCAGGAUUAUCUUCUUCUUCCAAAAAUCCUUUUCUUCAGAUCUCACCUCCGAGUUCUCCUUCUCGGAUUCCUCCUCCUCAGCUCUUCAGCGGGGUCCUGAAAUGGUUUCCCCAAACUGGGAUGAGACUACGUCUCAGCGAGUUCUACCCCACUAAGCCCGAUUAGAAAACUAUUAUACUAAACGCUGCCUAAACACGCAUAGGGCAGAUGACUUACCUUGGCCUCUGAUCCUACCUGCAAGUCAGUACAAUUCACAAUAAACAGUCAUUUGCUUCCAACAAAUUGAACUAGUCGAUUACAUGUCAUACAAUUCAAUAUCCCCACUGUGGGAUAUUUAAAAGCUAGGCCACGUGUAUUCUCCAGGACGACCUUCCAAGUCUCCGAGUUCACGUGCCUCGAACCUUGGGCCCACGUGCAUUCUCUCAGGCGACCUUUUCGCCAAAGUGAUGCAUCAAGUCACCGAGACCACGUGCCCUUUUAGAUGCCUGUACUUAGUCACAGAGCUCCAUCAAUGCUCUCGGGCGACGAUUCGCCAAGGUGACGUACAGUGAACACUUUACUAUGCUCUCGGGCGUCUUUUUCGCCAUGGUGAUACACUGAUCACAGAGCCAACAUAAACAAUUCAAUAUGCUCUCGGGCGUCUUUUUCGCCGUGGUGAUACACUGAUCACAGAGCCAACAUAAACAAUUCAAUAUGCUCUCAGGCGAGCCAACAUACACAAUUCAAUAUGCUCUCGGGCGUCUUUUUCGCCGUGGUGAUACACUGAUCACAGAGCCAACAUACACAAUUCAAUAUGCUCUCGGGCGUCUUUUUCGCCGUGGUGAUACACUGAUCACAGAGCCAACAUAAACAAUUCAAUAUAAUCAACCACUAAACUCACGUGCAUUUUCCAGGUGAUAUUCCAAUACCCAACGAUUUCUCAAUCAAUUAAUUAAAUCAACUCAACAUAGCAUUAUCAAUGCUAGAUAACAUACUUGGCCAAUUCAAUCUCAAUCAAUUCCAAUCAAAUUAGGGUAAACCCUAAAAUAUCUCAAUUUAUUCAAUUCCAUACAACGUGGAGCUCAAAUAAAUAAACGGGCUACGCCACGACGAUCAGCAUGAGAGUUCGGUUGUCGGCCAUCAAAAUCUUAAUUUCCGAAAAAUAAAUAAUUAAUUAUUAAUUUCGAAAAUUAAUUAAUUACUAUUAAAAAUUCAAUUUAGCUCAAAAUAAAGCCCGAUUAAAUAAACGGACUUCACCACGCUCAUCAGCAUAAUUUUCCGGUUCCAUAUCAUCUCAGUUGAAUUUUCGAAAAAUAAUUAAUUAAUUAAUUAAUUUCGAAUAUUAAAUAAUUAAUAUUAAAAAUCCCAUUUAGCUCAAAUUAAAGCCCGAUUAAAUAAACGAACUUCACCACAUUCAUCAGCACAAUACUCCGGUUCCGAACCAUCUCCCUUGAAUUUUCGGAAAAUAAAUAAUUAUUAAAUUUAAUUUCGAAAAUUAAUAUUUAAAUACUAAAAAUAUCCACUUAGGCCCGAAAAGCCUAAUUGGAGCCCACUAAGGGUCGGGAAAAUUCCCGAAGCACUUCCAAUAAUUAGUAGACCACGUCUACUUGCUAAUUACACAAUCAAUUUAUCUAAAUCACAUCACAAUUGACUAAUAAUUGCUAAUUUAUUCUAAUCUAACAACCUAAACAUAAUUAAUUAAAUCUAAACCAGCUUAAAGCAUAAUUAACCACUAAUCCUGGAUUAGUGAGAUUACUCACCAAAUCGCGCGCAAAUCGGAUCAAUCCGACGGCGGCGACGCGAGGAACGAUUGUUCCCAAAGCACGGCUCGGGUUCGGAGCCGGGAAACGGUCCAAAAGCGGGCCCGAAGGUGCUGAAACCCACUCCGUGGGUCUUGCUGGUCGCGGCUGAACGGAGCAGCUCCGGCGGCUAGGGCGGCGGGGGAAGGCCGGCGGAGGGCGAGGGGGUCACCGGGGGUGGUCCGGCGGGGUUGGCGGUGGCCGGAGGUGGCCGGAGAUGGGCUGGUCGGUGCAGAACAGUAGCUGGGUCAGCUGGAUCGCGCGGAGGGAGGAGCGGCAGCGAGCGACGGACGGCGGGACGGCGACGGGCGCGCGGGCGCGGCGCGGCGGUGCGGCGGUGCGGUGGUGCGGCGAGCGGGAUGAGCGGCGAGCUGCUGUCCUUCCUCCGUUUCUGGUUUCCGCGAAGAAGAAGAAGGAAGAAAAGAGGGGUUCGGUCGCGUGGGGAAGAAAGAAGAAAGAG